AGAGUUUGAUCCUGGCUCAGGAUGAACGCUAGCUACAGGCUUAACACAUGCAAGUCGAGGGGCAGCAUGGUCUUAGCUUGCUAAGGCCGAUGGCGACCGGCGCACGGGUGAGUAACACGUAUCCAACCUGCCGUCUACUCUUGGACAGCCUUCUGAAAGGAAGAUUAAUACAAGAUGGCAUCAUGAGUUCACAUGUUCACAUGAUUAAAGGUAUUCCGGUAGACGAUGGGGAUGCGUUCCAUUAGAUAGUAGGCGGGGUAACGGCCCACCUAGUCUUCGAUGGAUAGGGGUUCUGAGAGGAAGGUCCCCCACAUUGGAACUGAGACACGGUCCAAACUCCUACGGGAGGCAGCAGUGAGGAAUAUUGGUCAAUGGACGAGAGUCUGAACCAGCCAAGUAGCGUGAAGGAUGACUGCCCUAUGGGUUGUAAACUUCUUUUAUACGGGAAUAAAGUUAGCCACGUGUGGCUUUUUGUAUGUACCGUAUGAAUAAGGAUCGGCUAACUCCGUGCCAGCAGCCGCGGUAAUACGGAGGAUCCGAGCGUUAUCCGGAUUUAUUGGGUUUAAAGGGAGCGUAGAUGGGUUGUUAAGUCAGUUGUGAAAGUUUGCGGCUCAACCGUAAAAUUGCAAUUGAUACUGGCAGUCUUGAGUACAGUUGAGGUAGGCGGAAUUCGUGGUGUAGCGGUGAAAUGCUUAGAUAUCACGAAGAACUCCGAUUGCGAAGGCAGCUUACUAACCUGUAACUGACAUUGAUGCUCGAAAGUGUGGGUAUCAAACAGGAUUAGAUACCCUGGUAGUCCACACGGUAAACGAUGAAUACUCGCUGUAGGCGAUAUACAGUCUGCGGCCAAGCGAAAGCAUUAAGUAUUCCACCUGGGGAGUACGCCGGCAACGGUGAAACUCAAAGGAAUUGACGGGGGCCCGCACAAGCGGAGGAACAUGUGGUUUAA
rnacentral:rRNA from 1 species